rnacentral:misc_RNA from 1 species
GAUGAAGAACGUAGUGAAAUGCGAUACGUAAUGUGAAUUGCAGAAUUCAGUGAAUCAUCGAGUCUUUGAACGCACAUUGCGCCCCCUGGUAUUCCGGGGGGCAUGCCUGUCCGAGCGUCAUUGCUGCCCUCAAGCACGGCUUGUGUGUUGGGCCUCCGUCCUCCUCCCGGGGGACGGGCCCGAAAGGCAGCGGCGGCACCGCGUCCGGUCCUCGAGCGUAUGGGGCUUCGUCACCCGCUCUUGUAGGCCCGGCCGGCGCUUGCCGACACAUCAAUCUUUUUUCCAGGUUGACCUCGGAGCAGGUAGGGAUACCCGCUGAACUUAAGCAUAUCAAUAAGCGGAGGA